UGUUACAAAACUGAUUUUUCCUUUAUGAUUGCAUGUGAAUUCAUAAAUUAUAACCACAACCUAGCAUACACCAAAGAGUAAAUCAAAUGUUCAUCCAUGUUUAUAACUCUCUUUAAUAGUCAUGUAAUUAAAAACCAAAUCCUCAUCAUUGUGUUGGAAGGUACCCUAAGACACAUACAAAAACAACUCUUUUUGGUUUUUUUCAAAACAAUUUUUCAAAAUUUUAUGAGAUUUUUGGAUUUUUAUGUCAAAACACACUAAAAUACUCCAAAAUAGCUUAAAAACAUUUAAAACAGCAGGAACAGCACAAGAAGUAAUGGGUGAUAAACUCCUACGAAUUUCAUGCAAAACAAUGGUUACCCCCCUCACACUUAAAUCAAACAUUGUCCUCAAUGUUUCAAGCGUAAACUCACACAAAAAAAAAAAAAGCAAACAAACAAACAACGAAUAAACAUGACAACUAUGGCAAAGUAAAAACCAGAUAGAGUAGAGUUUAAGAACGCAAAUCUGGUUUUGGAGAUAGAUGAUCUUGUUGUCUUUCCACAGCUUUGAUCUCGA
rnacentral:lncRNA from 1 species